GGAUUUUCUCGCUGCCACCCCCGAUUCUCCCUCGGCUCUCCCGGCCGAUUCGGUGCUGCUCGGCGACCACGUGACGCGGGCUGCCUUUGACCCCGGUCUCGGAGCGGGUGCCCAGGUUACACCUUUGGAAGGAGUGUAGUCAAACAGGACCAGACCCGAAGACAGGGCCACAGCCCACAACUGCCGGCCACGUGUGGACAGGAUGUGACUUCCAAGUACAUACUACAGCCGCCACCAGUUGGACCGGGGAAAACAGCCUAGACCAGCAAAUUCUUGGCAAUCUGAGUUUCCACACUGGGCAGUGUAAAGUCCUUGAGAAAUGGGCUGAGGCUUGAGCAGGUCAAGCCCCCGGUCGGCAGUUUAGAAGGUCCAUUCCGUCAGCCCUGUGAACAGGAUCUGUAUUCUAGACACCGUGGGAGGGGCGGAGUUGAAAAGGACAGGCGUUCAUGCUCAAGCUAUGAGCCGAGGAUGUUGCCCAAUUGGUGGAGGGCUUGCCGAGCAUGCAGGAUGCCCUGGGUUCAAUCCCCUGCACUGCAUAGAUGUGCAUGCCUAUAAUUCCACAGCACAGCGCUCAGAAGGCAGUAGGAACAAGGUGUUUAAAGAGUUCAAGUGGGCAUGAGUUCCCCCCCCCCAUCCCUUUAUUCUGGCCAAAGUGAGCCAGGAGAGAGGUAAGGGGGCAAGAUGGCUCUCAAGAUUGAAGGAGCAAGGGAAGGAGGGCUUCCAGGGUGUCAGCCGGUAAGCUGGAUCAGAUGAACAGUUAGGGUGGGUUUGGGAAAGGAAGAUGGACGGACUUUCUGGCACAAGGAACAAUCCACCAGGACCAUGUGGAAGUGGUUCUGGAAAAGCUGCAUGGAGCAUGGCAGAGGAAGCAGGAAGGAAAGGCUGAGUCAGAAAAGACUGAAGGGUGUCGGGCGCUGAGGCUAGCCUCCAGAGCAGCUGAAUCCCAGCCUGGACCGAACCUAAUCCUGAGGGGCCUCCUGGAGAGAGAAGUCUUCUCGUGGGUAAAGAGAUGGCAGGGAGCCAGUCAGGUCAAGGGCAUGUCCAACGCAGCAGACUCAGAGGGUCAGCCUGGGAGUUAGGUAACCAACCCCAUGUCUAUGACAGCAUUUCCUACCUCGGAGUCUUCAAAACCGGCUUCAUAAGCUGGGCCUUCCGGCUUGUGAGGGUCUAUGUGGCGGGCAGGGAAGCCCAGCCAGGGCGGAGAUGGGCCGGAGGACCUAUGUUCUACCCCUCCUCCCUCCCCUCAUGACCACUCCCCAGGCCCCUUCUUAGGGCCCAGUGACCUCUUGAGACCAUCGUGAGACUUCCUUGCUACCCCAUCAUCUCAUCUGCUCCGUCUUAGCAAGGCAGAGGCUGAGCUCAUCACUCCCCAUCUUCCUCAAGCCCACAUGGUCCAGUCUCUCUGUCCCAUAUGUCAUCCAUGAGCCCUCCCAUUGCUCCUGCCUCCAAGCUGUUUUCUUUCUCUCUCAACUCCUUUUCUCCUUCAUCAGUGCCGAUGCGUAGCUUCUCAGCUUGCCUUUUUUGGGGUGGGGGGUGUUUUGAGACAGGGUCUCUCUGUGUAACAGCACUAGCUACCCUGGAACUCACCAGGCUGGCCUUGAACUCACAGAGAUCCACCCUCCUCUGCCUCCCAGGUGCUGAGAUUACCACCACCACCACCACCACCACCACCACCACCACCACCACUACCACCACCACCCAGCCUCUCUCAUCUUUUAAUGAAACUUCAUCAUGCCCAUUUCCUGUUGAAAGUUACCAGCAACUUGGUUUCCCACCCUCCUAGGAGAAGUGUCUUGCCUGGGUGUCUGUCUGUUACCUACUUUUCCUCAGUGGACAGAUCUUCACCUUCCACUUUGCCUGUCCAUUUAUUUAUUUUCAGACUGAGUCUCACGAUGGAGCCCUGGCUGGCCUGGAAUGUGCUCUGUAGACCAGGCUGGCCUACGUCUCCAGAAUGCUGGGAUCAAAGGCCUGAGCCGUAAAGCCUAGCCCCAGGCUGCUGAUUUUUGUUAAAGGAAUGUACCAAAGCCUGUCUUUCUGGGCUCUGCCGUAUCUAAACUAUGUGGCCAUGGUCAUCAUCUUCUCAACCUGUCUGUGCUCUUAUCUCUGCGGUGUGGGCAAUAAUUGUGUGUGCUUCUGAGCGCUCCGUGGGAAUUAAAUAUGUAAAGCCCUUCCUUCAUGUGGGAGCUCAA